GGUACGGUGCCAGAGUGGUUAAUGGGUGAGACUUGAAUUCAAUAGGAUUCAUGCCAUCUCAUGACUUCGGUCGCUUGGGUUCGAAUCCCAACCGUAUCG